GCUCCGCGGGUCCGGACGCCGCCGCAGACCCGGCCCCUCGGCAGCGCCUCCCCUCGCGACUGGGGGCUCCCGCACCACCCGGCCGCGGCCGCGGCGAGCAGCGCGGGCCCGAGCGCCUCACGCACCGCCGCUCUAGAGGCCGGGGGCCCAACUCAGGGUCCCCGAGGCUCGGCCUCCGCGCUGGGCGCUCCGGGGCGGAUCCAGUGAGAGGACUGUCGCGCUCAGGGGCGGACGGUCUGUCGCGCAUCUCUGCCCUGGCCGGAGGGGUGAAGGACGGCGCCAGGCCCAGGGUUCCAGUCACGGCGCCCCCACAGCCUCCGACCGUCAGACUUGGGGAUUCGGGGCUUCCCAAGCUCCACAGAGCGGGCCCCCGGCGCGCCGAAACCCGCGCCCCUGAGAAUCCCGGCAGGUGCACGCGCCGCGGCGAGGGGCGUGGCCAGUCGCGCGCUCCGCGUUGGCCGCUCCUCGCGGCCGGACGGUUGGAAGCGGUGCUGCCUUGAAGAGGGUGAGCGCCGAGCUGCGUGAGGACGGGGGAGAAACAGGUGAGAACCGACGGUCUCCGGCGGGAGCGCUCGUGAGGACUGAGCGCUGCGGCUCCUUGUGUGUGAAGGACGCGGCGCGCCAUCGGCGGGGAGCGUUUUCGUCGUGAUGGACAGCUCCCUAGCGCCAGCACAGCUCAUGCCACACAACCAAGAAUCAACCCCGCCUGGCCUUUCCUGACUCUGAGCUCCUUAGAGUGGGAGAUGGAUGAGGAGCCUAGUGGACCCAGAUUCAGCCACGUGGAGGGCUGGUGACAGUGCUCAACAAACUCACCCCUGCCAGGAGAAGGCCCUCCCACCCUCUCCUCAUCCCAUCCACUGGCCAGACCGCCAUCUGCAAGCAAGAAGUGAAGGAACGUGGCCCCCAGUGGGAGAAACAGCACCAGACAGGAGAGCAGAGCCACGGCUGGGGCCCGUGGGACACACGUGGGACAGCUGGUAGGGAGCUCUCAGGCUCCAGGGACCAAGCAUCGCCAGAGGAGCUGCGUGAGGACCCGCCACGAUCAUGGACAGUCCCUGAGCGGGUGAGGCGGGCAGAAGCACCCAGCUGCUGACGAUGUCUGCAGACACCUUCGGCAGGUACUGCAGGGCCCCUGCCAGCUGCUGGGUGGCCUCCUCCCACCGCAGGUCCAGCUGCUGUGCUGGGCCACCGCAUAGGGCUGGCCUGCCAAGGUGUGCCUGGGCCCUGAUGGGACUCACGCUGGGAACCAGGGUUUGAGAAGUGCUCCAUGUCACACCCACAGCCACACCCCACAGGGCCGGGCAGUGUCUCAAAUCCAGCCCUCACCCUACGUGCUGUCCAGGUUCAGCCUGUGCAGAGGGUGCGUCAGGGGCUCACAGGAAACGGGAUUCUGCUGCUGGCUGCUGAGCAGAUGAGGGAGGGGAGUGCCAGACAAGAGGCUGGGAAACUGGCAGGCACAAUGGGGAGCUCAGACGAGGCGCGGCCCUGCUGACCCCGCCAUGGUGCUUGGUGCGCUGCUAGGCGCCCUUUCCAUUCAGUGUCUCAGCUCCACCUCCCACACUUGGACAAACACAGAAGAAACCCUGGCUGCUGAGGCAAAGGGGGGCUGCAAGCAGAGGGAUGGGGUUGGGUGGGAAUCACCUGGAUCACUGCUGGACGGUCCCAGACCUGAAAAGCACAGGAAAUGCGGACAUGGGUCUCCCUCUUGGGCCCCUGAGGAACUCGGGGCCUGGUCCUGCCAUGGACUAGGCUGCAGCUAGUGGUGGUGGUGGUGUCCAGACUCUGCCCCUCCCAGCUAGAGCCAAGGGGCAGGGGGAGGAGGUGCAUGUGGGGGUGGAAGACAGGAAGAAAGCAUCCUUGGAAUCGCACCGCGAGGGCAGAGUCUAUUUAUAUUGGGCUUAAUUAACUCUGCUCCCUGCUGCCACUAACGCAGCAAUCACACUGCAGACGGCACUGAUUUGAUUGGCAAGAGGCACACCACGCGGAAUAUUAAGGAUCCAGGCCCCUAUAAAUAGGCCUAAUCCAGCCCCUCACGGGCAGACAGUGGAGAGGACAUUAAUCAGACCUAGCACUGUGUCCCAACCUAGCUCUGCUGGGCAACACAGUGGGGUCCUUGGUUACAAUAGAGGUGUGAGUGGGGUGGGCAUGAAGUGCUGUGUGACCUUAAGCAGGUAGCUUGCCUUCUCUGAAUCUCUGAUUCUUUUUUUUUUUUUUUUCCAUUCUGCAGAGGGAACUGGCACUGCUAAGGAGAGGUUGUUCUCUGGAGCUGGCACUGUGGCAUAGUAGGUUAAGCCUCCACCUGUGGCACAGGCACCUCAUAUGGAUGCCAGUUCAUGUCCCGCUGUUCCUAUUCUGAUCCAGCUUUCUGCUUAUAGCCUGGGAAAGCAGCAGAAGAUGACCCAAGCACUUGGGCCCCUGCACCCCCAUGGAAGACCUAGAAGAAGCUCCUGGCUCCUGGCUUUGAUUGGCUGAGCUGUGGCCAUUGCAGCCAUUUGGGGAGUGAAUCAGCAGAUGGAAGACCUUUCUCUGUGUCUCCCUAUCCCUGUAACUCUGCCUCUCAAAUAAAUAAAAUCUUUUUUUUUUAUUUGACAGAUAGAGUUAGUGAGAGAGAAAGAGAGAGAGAGAAAGGUCUUCCUUCCAUUGGCCUUCCUUCCAAAUGGCCGCAACAGCCGGCGCUGUGCUAAUCUGAAGCCAGGAGCCAGGUGCUUCCUCCUGGUCUCCCAUGUGGGUGCAGGGCCCCAAGCACUUGGGCCAUCCUCCACUGCCUUCCUGGGCCACAGCAGAGAGCUGGACUGGAAGAGGAGCAACCGGGACAGAAUCCGGCGCCCAUAUGGGAUGCCGGUGCAACAGGCAGAGAUUAACCAAGUGAGCCACGGCGCCAGCAAUAAAUAAAAUCUUAAAAAAAAAGUGGUUGCCUAUUAUUAUUAUUGCCAUAUUAUCACUAUUGGGAAGCUGAUAGAAUGUCCAUCCAGCGGUUCAGUUCCCCGAAUGCUGCAACACCCCCAGCUGGAGCCAAAGCCAGGUGCCUCUCACAAGAGUGGCAGGACCCAAUCACUCAAGCCAACACUUCUGCCUUCUAGGGUCUGCUUCAGCAGGAAGCUGGAGUCAGGAGUGAAGCUGGGAGCCAAACCCAGUUCUCUGACAUGGGAUGAAGGUAUUAAGUGGCAUCUUCACCACUAGAUCAAAUGCCUGCCCCUGGUAAGUUUUGUGUGUGUGUGUGUGGAAAAAAAAAAAACAAAACUUUUGAAACCCCUGAAUUUUGUUGGCAUAAUGGGCAUUUUCCUGGAACAUUUUGCAGGCCCCCUUAUACACACCACACAGUGUGUCAUGCCUACAUCCCACCCCCCCCACCCCCCGCUGCACCUGCCACUUUGCUCCUCUGACUUCUGCCCUCCUCGGGCUGGCCUGCACAGGAUCUCAGAGGACAGCCCUGGUUUCUACCUCUUCCUCCAGCAGUGCGCUCCUCCUUUGCACUCAGGCAUCAAGGACAGACAUCCUGGGUUUCCCAGACGGAAUCAGCCUUGGAUUCUCCUCCAAGCCAGAAGUCACUCCUCACCUCCUCACUUUUCUUCCUAGCAAAUAACCAACGUGGGACCAGCCAAACCCCAUCCAUUUGAAGACCCUAACCCAAGGCACCAUCGUACCCAUAUCAAGAAAUUUCCCCCCCUCCUUUGUCUUUAAGAUUUUGUUUUUAUUUAUUUGAAAGAGAGAGCCAGAAAGAGAGAGGGAGAGGGAGAGAGAGGAGAGGGAAAGGAAGAGGGUUGGGGUGGGGGGGG